rnacentral:lncRNA from 1 species
AUAAUUUUCUAAUUAAAUGCGGUGAAAAAACUUCUCUCUGCCCUCGUAGGGGUUGCCAGUUAUUUUUGGUGCUUGCUAACCGAAGAGGACUUCGCCAAAAUGGACGAGGUAUAAGAGUAAAAGAGCCAUGCCUGUUCAACGAAGCUCAACUGGCGUUUAAACGGGUAAUAUCGAAUGCCUCUUUAUUAUGUACUUAGACUUUAAGCUUCAAACAAUCGU